rnacentral:rRNA from 1 species
UGCAGAGGUGGCAAGCGUUGUUCGGAAUUACUGGGCGUAAAGGGCGCGUAGGCGGCCUUAUAAGUCUCGUGUGAAAGCCCUCGGCUUAACUGAGGAUCUGCACGGGAUACUGUAAGGCUCGAGUUCGGGAGAGGAGAGCGGAACUCCGGGUGUAGCGGUGAAAUGCGUAGAUAUCCGGAGGAACACCAAUGGCGAAGGCGGCUUUCUGGACCGACACUGACGCUGAGGCGCGAAAGCUAGGGGAGCAAACGGG